CUGUUGAGUCUGUGUUUUCCCCCCGUAAUCAGACUUGGGAAGGCUUGGAAAAACAAAAACAAGAACAAGAACAAAAAACAACUGUCACUCUAUGGAGGAUAGAGAGAGGAGACAAAUAGAUGGAAAUGUAUUGGAAGACAUUGAGAAGGAUGUACACCAAACAGUUCACAGUGGUCAGCGGUGGAGAAGGGGGAAGAAGACUCCAGCUGAAAGGCAGAGAUGGCUAGAGAAAGACUCGACUCUCAAGGAAGCUUCCCGCUCCCAACCUCAGCCACGUGGCAGUGGGCCCAAAUGAGCUGCCCUGAUCCUACCCCGGGACAAAUGGGGCCACCUGGAAUCAUCCCAGUUGUGUGAGUGUCACCUCCUGGAGAAAACAAAAUAAAAUAGGGAGGGAGUUUCAGUGUGGUGGAGGGGAAAGGGUGCAUUAUUUUUCUGGUGAAAGAAAGAAGUUCUGAGA